GAAAUUUGUUCCAAUUAGACUCUUUUUACUGAGAUGACAUGAUGAGUGUAAUAUACUCAAAAUCAGGGCGUGAGAGGUUCACUUAAGCAAUUUUUAUUUUAUUUUUCUCUUCUUCUUCCCCAUUUUUCCAUCCACUAUCUCCCACCAUUUCUGCAAACUUAAACUCCUUCCAUGAUGGUCAAAUUUGGUCUCUUCAGUUGCAAAUUGAAAGAAGAUGGGUCAUUCCAAUCAAAGUUUCCUCUUCCAUAUCCCGAUUUCUCUUCAUCCCUUUAAGCCAUUCCCACUAAUUCAAUUGAAAACAAUAUAUCAUCACCUUCGUUGCUUUACAGUAUUCAUCCAUAUGGACUACUGAUUAGAUUUCACAACGAGACUAUUUUUGGAUUUCCAAGAGUCAAUCGCCUUAAUAUAGUUUCUUAUUUAUUGCUAUUGUUUUUGCUUCUUCUCUUUGAGGAUUGAAUAUCGGAGCAGCAAAUUGAAGAAGAGAUUUGGUAUUUUUGUUUGUGAAAUUCAUAGAAGAGACUGGAGAAAAAAGGAAUUAUUACUAGGCUUCCACAGUUCCGGUCCAGUCUAAUAGCCCAUAGAAGAUGGAUAACAAAUCAAUGUCGCUUCAACGGCAGGUUUAGAUGAUGAAGGAUUUUGUGAAGAUCCAAACAAAAAUAAUGAAGGAAGAUAUUUCCAAGCUUAAUGGAAGGAAUAACUUUUGAAAGCUAUGGAAGGAAGCUUGCCAAAAUCUGGAAGGAAGAUCUGCUACUUCAAGGGAAGAAUAUUACUCUGAUUUUAUGGAAAAAAAUUCUACAAAAGGAAAACAUCAAGAUCAAUAUGUUAUUUAGGAAAGGUCCAAAUUUCAUGGAGUAUCAAGAUAUGCUAGAAGUUUCAAGUGUACAAAAGAGUUCACAUUUUGAGUGAUUAAAGUUUAAAUUCAGAUAGAUAUGAUUAUAUUGGAAUUAAUAAAAAUCUAGACCAAGGUCAAACGGAGAGGAUCUUGAUAUUCUCUUGCACUUAAAUAAGAUCUCAUAUUUGUACAAUCCAGAGAGAAAGAGUUCAGAGAAACUAUUCGAGAGAAUAUUAGUUACUCUGGAAAGAAGAUAUCCUAUGAAAGGAAAGAUCUCUAGAGAUGUUCAAAUUUGAAUAUAUUUGCUUCAAGUUUGGAAGGAAGGUGAUGAAUUUACUAUAAUUUUAAGGAAAGAUUAUUCCGAAGAUUCCCUGAGUUACUAUAAGCUUUGUUAUGGGAAUAAAUUAUAUUUCUAAGACCUAUUAUGAAAAGGAAAGAAUCUCAAAUUAUUACUGUAUGAUUGAGGAUUCCCCAAGUGUUCCAUAAUUUAUGGAAGUAAAUGAAGAAGCAUAUUUGGAAAAGAAAA